rnacentral:rRNA from 1 species
CAAGUCGUGGGGCAGCGCAGUGUAGCAAUACAUGGGCGGCGACCGGCAAACGGGUGCGGAACACGUACGCAACCUUCCUUUAAGCGGGGAAUAGCUUUCGGAAACGAAAAUUAAUACCCCAUAAGAUUGUUGGAUGGCAUCAUCUGGCAAUUAAAGCUCCGGCACUUAAAGAUGGGCGUGCGGCUGAUUAGGUAGUUGGCGGGGUAACGGCCCACCAAGCCUACGAUCAGUAACUGGUGUGAGAGCACGACCAGUCACACGGGCACUGAGACACGGGCCCGACUCCUACGGGAGGCAGCAGUAAGGAAUAUUGGUCAAUGGACGCAAGUCUGAACCAGCCAUGCCGCGUGGAGGAUGAAGGUCCUCUGGAUUGUAAACUUCUUUUAUCUGAGAAGAAACCCACUGAUUCUUCGGUGGUUGACGGUACCAGAUGAAUAAGCACCGGCUAACUCCGUGCCAGCAGCCGCGGUAAUACGGAGGGUGCAAGCGUUAUCCGGAUUCACUGGGUUUAAAGGGUGCGUAGGUGGGUUGGUAAGUCCGUGGUGAAAUCUCCGAGCUUAACUCGGAAACUGCCGUGGAUACUAUCAAUCUUGAAUAUCGUUGAGGUAAGCGGAAUAUGUCAUGUAGCGGUGAAAUGCUUAGAUAUGACAUAGAACACCGAUAGCGGAGGCAGCUUACUAAGCGAUUAUUGACACUGAGGCACGAAAGCGUGGGGAUCAAACAGGAUUAGAUACCCUGGUAGUCCACGCCCUAAACGAUGGAUACUCGACAUACGCGAUACACAGUGUGUGUCUGAGCGAAAGCAUUAAGUAUCCCACCUGG